rnacentral:lncRNA from 1 species
GUGUUUGUGGGAUAAAUGUGAACCUUUGCCAGAAAUGGUAAAGGGAGUUAUGCUUAGAGCCCGCGAUGCUCUGUCGGUCCCUUAUGACUUCACUUAAACGUGGGUGGAUGGAGCUCCCAAACGUGGGAGACUUAUGUUUGGUGGUCAUUCAGAAAUGGAUGGACCAUAUUAUAUUAUGAUCUCACUUCACCUUCUAUGUGUUUGACAUGAUAUCCAAAGCUUUGG